rnacentral:rRNA from 1 species
GUGACGGAAGCCGCGGUAAUACAGAGGUCUCAAGCGUUGUUCGGAUUCAUUGGGCGUAAAGGGUGCGUAGGCGGCGCGGUAAGUCGGGUGUGAAAUUUCGGAGCUUAACUCCGANACUGCAUUCGAUACUGCCGUGCUUGAGGACUGGAGAGGAGACUGGAAUUUACGGUGUAGCAGUGAAAAUGCGUAGAGAUCGNAAGGAAGACCAG